CCUACGGGUGGCAGCAGUGAGGAAUAUUGGUCAAUGGGCGCAAGCCUGAACCAGCCAAGUCGCGUGCAGGAUGACGGUCCUAUGGGUUGUAAACCUCUUUUAUCCGGGAGCAAAGGCCGCCACGUGUGGCGUUCCGCUAGUACCCUAUGAAUAAGCAUCGGCUAACUCCGUGCCAGCAGCCGCGGUAAUACGGAAGGUCCGGGCGUUCUCCGGAUUUAUUGUGUUUAAAGGGUGCGUAGGCGGCAAGUCAAGUCAGCGGUUAAAUUGACGGGCUCAACCCGUGCCGAGCAGUGGAAACUGGCGUGCUUGAGUCAGCGGAAAGCAGGCGGAAUGCGUGGUGUAGCGGUGAAAUGCAUAGAUAUGACGAAGAACCCCGAUUGCGAAGGCAGCAUACUGGAGCUGAACUGACGCUGAUGCACGAAAGCGCGGGUAUCGAACAGGAUUAGAUACCCGAGUAGUC
rnacentral:rRNA from 1 species